rnacentral:misc_RNA from 1 species
GUGCACAUAAAAGGUAUGGAUUCCUCCAUGAAAAUCAGGAAGUGAUAAUUAGCCAUUUUCUGCUCGGUCAUAUGCAUUGGACUUAUGCUUUGGUGCAAAUGUAAAUCCAUCUGGAACUUUGCCGAGCAACAUUUCAGAUAUUCGAAUCCAGUCAGCAGCAGAAUCAGAAGCCAUAAGAGUUUCAAGGUCAUCACGACCAUAGUAGGAGGGUGGGCGCCAGUUAAUCUGUUGUGGAAUGACAUCCAAAAGACCAACAGGUAUAUACCUACAUGUGUAGCUAAGCCAUUCCAAUAAGAAAUGCCUAGUUGUCUCCACCCCUUUUGUAUCAGAACCCCAAUGUUCAAGGCCAAAAUGCACAUAAUCCUUCAAAAUAUCCAAUCUCUCUCCAGACCUAAUGUCCCAAUGCCUCUGUUCCUUGAUUAUUUCAGUAAAUAUCCAAGGUUUAAUUAGUGCUCCUCUAGCUAUCAUGCAUGAAGAGAGCUCAGGGCAGUCAGAUUUGUGCUUGUUCCAGCCUGUAUAUGAAAAGAUAUCCCCAUUUCCUAGUACUUGAAGAGAUUCCGGGGCCUUUCUAGUACAAUGGUAUAUGUAGUCCCAAUCAGCAAGCUUGCUGUAGCGUUGCUGGCGUGAUCUACCAUGUAUUGUUACAGCACUGGCCCCCCAAUUACCAAUGUCCUCAAUUAGUGAGUCAAUACGAUUUUUUCCUUCAAAGUAACCUGUUCGCACCUUCACAGUUAUAGGCUUCUCAACUGUGCCAGAAGCUGCAUUUAUAACCCUUUUCAUUCGCAUUGGUUUUGUAAGAAGACAUGACCCAGCACCCUUGUCAACAACAAUAUCAAUUGGGCAGCCCAUAUUUAUAUCUAUGAAGUCCACAUUACAUUCCUGAUCUAUAAGCUCCACAGUGCGUGCUACAGUAUCUGGAUAUGCCCCACAUAUUUGGACACCAAACAAAUCCUCAGAGGAAUGGCGCCUCAGCAGAGCCCAUUCAGAAGCUUGACCCUGUAAAAGAUUUGUACACAUUGCCAUUUCACCGCAAGUUACAUCAGCUCCCAAUACUUUGCAAACCCUUCGAAAAGGAAGAUUUCCAACAGUGGUCAAAGGUGCGAGAUACAACUUUCCUCUGAAGUCAAUCAACUUCUUUUCACGCAGGUGUAUUUUCAAACUUCCAUCUGUUUCUGUGAGUGCAUCAUCAAUCAUAACUUCUAAUUCUGUUUCUGGACAACUAUUUUCAAGAUCUUUCUCUGGAACACUUAAUCCANNNNNNNACACUUAAUCCAGAGCAGCACUUUUCUUCAAUAAUUGACUUCACUCUUUUCAGAGGCCUAAUUUCAUUAGUUGUUAUUAUUCCAUCAGCAUUCUCCCCGGUUCGCACUUCCAAAGAGCACUCCAAUUUAUCAGCAGAGUCACUGGCUACAGUAGCAUGAGAGUCAUUCACAGAGUUCUGAUCAACUUCCCCAUCAUCCUGCUUUUUUACUCUUGAAUUGCCAGGUCCCAUAAGACCAAGAGACUUGAGUUUAGCAUCUGCUUUGGGGAACUUCAUCUUAUUCUUCCACAAAAGCUUUUGAACAUCCUUGUUCAAUACAUUAAUUUCAGAGUUCUUCUUCAGCGCAUUCGAACUAUUGCCCUUAGCACCAUCUUCAUGUGUCCCAUAGAAUCUACAUGCCAAGCCAUAAGGACACGGCCCAUCUCCAUUAGUAAACGGACAUUUCCCCUCUAAAUCAGCCGGUUUCUCAGCCUUAAAGGCUUCUAUGUCAUGGCUGAAUCUGCACUUAUCACCAUAAGCACACGAACUAACGUCCUCACUCUUCGCUACCUCAGGGCACAGAUGCAAUGCAGAUUUCUGACGGCGUUCGCGUUUGAGUUGGCGUUUGGACUUCUUCUCCUUGGCUACUACACUUGACUUAGAGGCCUUGGCAUCGGCAUCGGAAACGGCAGUGUCCCUUUGGUUGGUUCUGGAAGGCGGAGGACGAAGGAACUCUCUCUUUACUGGAGCUAUGGCUUUGGCCACAAGCUCCUCCGGUGUUCGAUGAGUUCCAUUAGGGUUCAAAGGUUGUGAUGGUGGUUGGUCGACUAUAAGGUUCAUGUGUUCAAUGAGAUCGGCAGCAGACUCGGCCAUGUCGCACGAGUUAACUCACUCAACCAAUUCGGUGGCGGUGGCAGUGGGAGUGGCAGUUCAUCACCAGUUCAUGUAUCUUCGUACUUGAAUGGACAGUAGGGUUUAUUAAGGUCAUAA